AUAGAUAUGAUUGCUUUUUUAUCUGAUAAGGAUACGAAUAAUGAUUAUUUUCCUACUAUUUACUAGGUUUACAAUUGCUUUCUUGUUUGUUUAGGAUUCAUUCUUUGUGUAAGAAGAAAUUUUGGCAAAUUAUGUAGCCUUCUUGACAAAUAUGAAGUGCUCUUAUUUAUUUUCAAUCAAUAAAAUAAUAGUCAGUAUUUGUAAUGAGGUUGUUCUCUUUUUUUUGGUCAUUUGAAUUGUUUUAUUACAACUAAUAGUACCACUUUAAUCUAUACUAAGAAGAGUGAGAAAAUGAUGAAUAUUGAAUACAGUUGAUUGAAGAAGAAGACUUUAUCUGUUAAAACAAUUCACAAUUUAUGCUUUUUUUUUUUAACAAUCUAAUCACCUCAAAAGAAUAUUGUUGGAUUUAUCCAAUAUAAAUCAACCUUUAAAUGGUCUAUUACAUGUAAUAGGAAUGUAAUAUUAGAGAAUAAUGCUGAUUGUGAUUUGAUCUCUUAAAGAUAUCAAUCCUAUAUAAGGUGUCUUAUAUUGGAAAUAGGAUUGAUGGAAUCCUUAAUUAAAAAUGAUUAUGAUACUUCACUUGGAGGCUAACAAAGUAAGUUUAGGUUUCCUUUAUGGAUGGAAACCCUAACCUUUAGCCUAUAUAAAAACAAGGGUCCCUAUAAGCCCUAGAACACACAACAUAAUACUUCUCAUAGAGUAGUUGUAUUCAGCUAGGUGUUUAUAGAAGAUCUUGGUGUUGCCGUGCUCUGCUACUUUUGUGUUCGACUUCCAUGCCCGCCAUUGAAAUCAGGUCAGUCGCUCAUUCAUUUGUGUUUUAAUUGUAUAACCUUAUAAGACUAACAGUUGGUAUUAGAGCCACUGGUUAUAUAAUUAAAACCUAUUAGGUUUAAUGUUGGAUUAUAUAAUAUUCUCUUGAACUGCGUGUUUAAUCCAAAUUGUCAUUGCAUAUACUCGGCAACAUCACCAUACUAUUUGAAUCAGUUCAAUUGUUGAUUAUGAUCAGGUUGCAUAAUUAUUCAGUUUUAAUCAAGAAUAUUUUUCACUAAUAUUAUGGUUGCAGUCAAGGGAAAUUUAUUAAGAACUAUGCUAAUUGAUACCCUGAUUAUUAUCAGCAAGACAAGUUGCCUGAUUAUAGCACACGAAUCCACAAUAUUGUAUGCGGUUGUAUCACAUAUAACCACAUAGCUUUGCUUGCCAAUUGGAAAUUGGACUACGCUUAGAGGCGCUUUUGAUCAAGCAUGAAUUAAAUUAUGGAAUUGAAGCAUAGAAUUUAUAUAAUAUUCUUAUAGUAUUGUAGCAUGAAAUUUAAAAACCAUAUAGGAAUUGGAAUCCUAUAUUCAUAUAGGAACGUAAAGAAGCAUAUAUGUAAGGCGUGAUAUUAUAUUAUGUAUUUUACAGUGGAAACCAUGGCACUGAGAAGAAUAACAGUUUUGUUCUAUUUCAAUCUUCAUGCUAUUGUUUUGGUUGAAUUGAUUUACCAUGUGCCACUGAUGAUCUCAAUUUUUGUAAGCAUGCUAUAUUUGUUCUGACCUUACUGAAGAGGUCCCUCCGAUUAGCAAGCAGAACGAAGUCAUCUACCAAAGCAAAAUGGUUUGUUUCAUUGACUUUUGAUUUCCAUAAUGGUUUAUGGUAUUUUGGUUGAUAUAUAUUUGGGUUGAUCCCUGAAAGCUUAAAUUGGUAAUAAGAUAAAGAUAUAAUUGCAUGAGUGAUGUGCUAAUUAUUGUAGAGCAUGUACAUACAUUGAUUACAAUGUAUCGGUUAAGUAUGUCAUGAAUAUGGAUCCAAUUUUUACAUAUUUUGGCAAUACGUAUCUACAUGGGCAUAUGCUUAUUGAUUAAGAACUAAUAUUAUUUUCCAUGAAUUGCUACGGGUGAUACGUUAAUGUGACAAGAAACAAUUGCAUAAGUGCUAGCAAUUGUUUGAUCAAGCAAGUAUACAUAAUUUUCUAAAGCCAAUUAUGUAUCUACAGUUCGCAUAGCUUGUGUAUGUAUUUACAUUUGUUCUAACCUUGCAUUGGAGAAUUUCUUAAGAUCCCUCAGUCGAACAAGGCCAAAGAAGAGGUUAGUAUUACAUCGGUAUAUGAAAUUCUAGUACGAUCUUUCCUUUUGGUCUUCAUGAUAAAUUAUACAAGGAAUGGUUAUGUUGGAUUCAUGAAGUGUUAUAUUGUUCCUGCAAAAUCCAACCAUGUCGUGACGUCUUUCUGAUUGUAGGAGACAGAAUUAGUCAUAUCCUAUAAUUUAUCAAUACUAUUGGGAUAUGUUUUGCCUAUGAUUGUAAUAACAUAUAUUGCAGUUGUGUUGCAGGGAAGCAUACUCUAAGUUUUAUACAUGUCAAUUAUGUACAUGUCUGUUAAUGAAUUUGAUAAAAUUCCUAUACAUGAAAGUAAGUCAUACAUAUUUUGGCAACAUUUGUUAAGCAAAUGGCGCGUAUAGUGUUGCUUGUAUGGUUAAUUUGGUUCAAGCAUGAGAUGUGACAGCUCGUUCCGGAUUUUUCGUACCGUAGGGGUAAAAUGACGGUUUUGCCCCUAGUGGUUAUGUUUCGUGUGUGUUGGUUUUUGGGGUUUUGGUUGGCAGCAUUUGGACCACACACACACACACACACACACACACCUUCAUCCUCAUCUUCUUUUUGUCUCGUGUCUCUCUCUCUCUCCCUUCUACGUUUUUCGUACGGACAAGGAUCAAAACACUCGAAAACGUUGCGGAUCAAAGUAAAGAACUUUACCUUUGUGUUCGUGAGGUUCAUACGAGUUCAACCAUACCCAUUUCAGGGUUAUAGGAAGCUUGGUGAGGUCCUUAAGAAGCUCGGGGUGGUUCGUUUGAAGGUUUUGGACGUCAGGAUUGUGAGUGGCAGGUUUGGCCAGAUUUUGUGAAGUUUCUCCGGCGAGAUUCCGUUGGUUUCACUGCUUGAAAGUGUUGUUUCGCAUAUAGGUGAGACCUAUCGCGAGGACGAGCGCAGUCACUCGAGGCAAGGGG